CAGUCGAACGGACUUAACAUGAAACCUAGUGAUUGUUAAGUUAGUGGCGGACGGGUGAGUAACGCGUGGAUAACCUGCCGUAUGCGGGGGGAUAACAGUUGGAAACAGCUGCUAAUACCGCAUAAGCGCACAGUACCGCAUGGUACGGUGUGAAAAGAUUUAUCGGCAUACGAUGGAUCCGCGUCCGAUUAGCCAGUUGGCGGGGUAACGGCCCACCAAAGCGACGAUCGGUAGCCGGCCUGAGAGGGCGGACGGCCACAUUGGGACUGAGACACGGCCCAAACUCCUACGGGAGGCAGCAGUGGGGAAUAUUGCACAAUGGGGGAAACCCUGAUGCAGCGACGCCGCGUGAGUGAAGAAGUAUCUCGGUAUGUAAAGCUCUAUCAGCAGGGAAGAAAAUGACGGUACCUGACUAAGAAGCCCCGGCUAACUACGUGCCAGCAGCCGCGGUAAUACGUAGGGGGCAAGCGUUAUCCGGAUUUACUGGGUGUAAAGGGAGCGUAGACGGCGCUGCAAGUCCGGAGUGAAAGCCCAUGGCUUAACCAUGGUACUGCUCUGGAAACUGUGGAGCUUGAGUGCGGGAGGGGCAGGCGGAAUUCCUAGUGUAGCGGUGAAAUGCGUAGAUAUUAGGAGGAACACCGGCGGCGAAGGCGGCCUGCUGGACCGUAACUGACGUUGAGGCUCGAAAGCGUGGGGAGCAAACAGGAUUAGAUACCCUGGUAGUCCACGCCGUANACGAUGAUUACCAGGUGUCGCGGUANG
rnacentral:rRNA from 1 species